AACGAACGCUGGCGGCAUGCCUUACACAUGCAAGUCGAACGGCAGCACGGGAGCAAUCCUGGUGGCGAGUGGCGAACGGGUGAGUAAUAUAUCGGAACGUGCCCAGUCGUGGGGGAUAACGUAGCGAAAGCUACGCUAAUACCGCAUACGAUCUAUGGAUGAAAGCGGGGGAUCGCAAGACCUCGCGCGAUUGGAGCGGCCGAUAUCAGAUUAGGUAGUUGGUGAGGUAAAGGCUCACCAAGCCGACGAUCUGUAGCUGGUCUGAGAGGACGACCAGCCACACUGGGACUGAGACACGGCCCAGACUCCUACGGGAGGCAGCAGUGGGGAAUUUUGGACAAUGGACGCAAGUCUGAUCCAGCCAUUCCGCGUGCAGGAUGAAGGCCCUCGGGUUGUAAACUGCUUUGUACGGAACGAAAGGUUUCUAUUAAUACUAGGAGCUCAUGACGGUACCGUAAGAAUAAGCACCGGCUAACUACGU
rnacentral:rRNA from 1 species